rnacentral:lncRNA from 1 species
CAAAAUAGAAAUCCAACCCAAGAGACUUUUUCUUUCUCUCCCUCUUCCGCCUCCUUUCAUCUAUCAAAUUUCUGCAACCUCUGCUCUUCUCCAAUGGAGCUGAAUUUUGGACACCCUAUAGUUUUUGAGCAUAUGAACAACUUUCAAGAAGGAAUCGUUUCUGUUUGAGCGACGGAAAUUAAAGUGUUGAAGCUCCAAACAUGAUAGUCGGCUUCUUGCAGAUUUCGAAGCUGUUGUGAUGUUUCGAAGAUCUGGAAAUAUUUAACCGUUAGUUCAUCCUGAAUUUUUGAUAUGUUAUGAAAGAGUCGAUGAGGAACAACUUCAAUGAAGAAAGCAUGCCGAUCUGAACAAUAGAAAAUGGAGUUUCGAAGCUCACAACAAAUCUGACGGGUUGACAGAAAAAUAAUAACCAGUCAUUCAUCAUACCUGGAUUUCUGGAGUUAUACUGCUCCGAGGGAUCUCAAAUUUUGAUAUGUUGUAGUUCACGAGCUGAGGAACAACUUCAAUGAAGAAAGCAUACCGAUCUGAACAAGAGAAAAUGGAGUUUCGAAGCUCCCAACAAAUCUGACGGGUUGACAGAAAAAUAAUAACCAGUCAUUCAUCAUACCUGGAUUUCUGGAGUUAUACUGCUCCGAGGGAUCUCAAAUUUGGAUAUGUUGUAGUUCACAAGCUGAGGAACAACUUCAAUGAAGAAAGCAUGCUGAUUUGAGCAAGAGAAAAUAGAGUUUCAAAGCUCACAACAAAUCUGACGGGUUGACAGACAAAUGAUAAACAGUCACUCAUCAUACCUGGAUUUCUGGAGUUAUACUGCUCCGAGGGACCUCAAAUUUGGAUAUGUUGUAGUUCACAAGUUAAGGAACAACUUCGAUGAAGAAAGUAUGUUGAUAUGAACAAGAGAAAAUGGAGUUUCGAAGCUCACAACAAGUCUGACGGAUUAACAGAACAUUGAUGAACAGUUACUCAUCAUACUUGAAUUUCUGAAGUUGUACUACUCCGAUGGAUCUCAAAUUUGGAUAUGUUGUAGUUCACAAGAUAAGGAAAAACUUUCAUGAAGAUGACUUUGCAAUCUGAGCUAUAGAGAAUGGUGUUAUCUUGCAUCCACUCAGGCUGAUUAGUGGAAACGAAAAGCAAUUCCACCAAAGAAAAGAUGAAAAAGAGAGAAAAAAGCUACUAAUUGCACUUGAUCUUGUCUAGUCAAUAGCAUGCAGCAUCAAACACACAAAAGUUGGAAAUAUUUUUAGAUAAAGCAUAUACGAAUGUGUGACAUCGAAACAAGGAUUCGUUACUUUGACAAAUUAGUAACACGCGAGACGCCUCAUUCGGCAACUCUCUUCGCCUGAAGACUUGGGGGACUCCCACCAUAUGCUACUGCACCUUGAUACUCGGCAGUCUCACAACCACUCAGUGACUUGGAUUUUUCAAGUCUCCAACCGAGAAGUUUUCCUCACUCGGGAAAUUAAGGGAACACUACCUCAAACUAC